rnacentral:rRNA from 1 species
AGAGUUUGAUCCUGGCUCAGGACGAACGCUGGCGGCGUGCCUAAUACAUGCAAGUAGAACGCUGAAGAGAGGAGCUUGCUCUUCUUGGAUGAGUUGCGAACGGGUGAGUAACGCGUAGGUAACCUGCCUGGUAGCGGGGGAUAACUAUUGGAAACGAUAGCUAAUACCGCAUGAUAUUAAUUAUUGUAUGAUAAUUGAUUGAAAGAUGCAAUUGCAUCACUACCAGAUGGACCUGCGUUGUAUUAGCUAGUUGGUGAGGUAACGGCUCACCAAGGCGACGAUACAUAGCCGACCUGAGAGGGUGAUCGGCCACACUGGGACUGAGACACGACCCAGACUCCUACGGGAGGCAGCAGUAGGGAAUCUUCGGCAAUGGGGGGAACCCUGACCGAGCAACGCCGCGUGAGUGAAGAAGGUUUUCGGAUCGUAAAGCUCUGUUGUAAGAGAAGAACGGGUGUGAGAGUGGAAAGUUCACACUGUGACGGUAUCUUACCAGAAAGGGACGGCUAACUACGUGCCAGCAGCCGCGGUAAUACGUAGGUCCCGAGCGUUGUCCGGAUUUAUUGGGCGUAAAGCGAGCGCAGGCGGUUAGAUAAGUCUGAAGUUAAAGGCUGUGGCUUAACCAUAGUAUGCUUUGGAAACUGUUUAACUUGAGUGCAGAAGGGGAGAGUGGAAUUCCAUGUGUAGCGGUGAAAUGCGUAGAUAUAUGGAGGAACACCGGUGGCGAAAGCGGCUCUCUGGUCUGUAACUGACGCUGAGGCUCGAAAGCGUGGGGAGCAAACAGGAUUAGAUACCCCGGUAGUCCAA